rnacentral:rRNA from 1 species
UACGGGGGGGGCAAGCGUUGUUCGGAAUUACUGGGCGUAAAGGGCUCGUAGGCGGCCUUAUAAGUCAGUGCUGAAAUAUCCCGGCUUAACCGGGAGGGUGGCAUUGAUACUGUAGGGCUUGAGUGUAGUCGAGGUAGGCGGAAUUGACGGUGUAGCGGUGAAAUGCUUAGAUAUCGUCAAGAACACCGAUAGUGUAGACAGCUUACUAGGCUACAACUGACGCUGAGGCACGAAAGUGUGGGGAUCAAACAGG